UAGGGAAUCUUCGGCAAUGGGGGGAACCCUGACCGAGCAACGCCGCGUGAGUGAAGAAGGUUUUCGGAUCGUAAAGCUCUGUUGUUAAGGAAGAACGAGUGUGAGAAUGGAAAGUUCAUGCUGUGACGGUACUUAACCAGAAAGGGACGGCUAACUACGUGCCAGCAGCCGCGGUAAUACGUAGGUCCCGAGCGUUGUCCGGAUUUAUUGGGCGUAAAGCGAGCGCAGGCGGUUAGAAAAGUCUGAAGUGAAAGGCAGUGGCUCAACCAUUGUAGGCUUUGGAAACUGUUUAACUUGAGUGCAGAAGGGGAGAGUGGAAUUCCAUGUGUAGCGGUGAAAUGCGUAGAUAUAUGGAGGAACACCAGUGGCGAAGGCGACUUUCUGGUCUGUAACUGACGCUGAUGUGCGAAAGCGUGGGGAGCGAACAGG
rnacentral:rRNA from 1 species